rnacentral:rRNA from 1 species
AACGAACGCUGGCGGCAUGCCUAACACAUGCAAGUCGAACGAGACCUUCGGGUCUAGUGGCGCACGGGUGCGUAACGCGUGGGAAUCUGCCCUUGGGUUCGGAAUAACUCGCCGAAAGGCGUGCUAAUACCGGAUGAUGUCGUAAGACCAAAGAUUUAUCGCCCAAGGAUGAGCCCGCGUAAGAUUAGGUAGUUGGUGAGGUAAAGGCUCACCAAGCCGACGAUCUUUAGCUGGUCUGAGAGGAUGAUCAGCCACACUGGGACUGAGACACGGCCCAGACUCCUACGGGAGGCAGCAGUGGGGAAUAUUGGACGAUGGGCGAAAGCCUGAUCCAGCAAUGCCGGGUGAGUGAUGAAGGCCUUAGGGUUGUAAAGCUCUUUUACCCGGGAUGAUAAUUACAGUACCGGGAGAAUAAGCCCCGGCUAACUCCGUGCCAGCCGCCGCUGUAAAAC